rnacentral:rRNA from 1 species
UACAGAGGAUGCAAGCGUUAUCCGGAAUGAUUGGGCGUAAAGCGCGUGUAGGCGGCUCGAUAAGUCUGCUGUGAAAGUUCAGGGCUCAACCCUGAAAUGCCGGUGGAAACUGUCGAGCUAGAGUCCGGAAGAGGCGAGUGGAAUUCCUGGUGUAGCGGUGAAAUGCGUAGAUAUCGGGAGGAACACCAGUGGCGAAAGCGGCUACCUGGCCCAUUCUUGACGCUGAGGCGCGAAAGCUAGGGGAGCAAACGGG